ensembl:piRNA 21ur-2173 ncRNA
UAAUGUCAGUUGAAAAUGUGC